CAGUAGCGUAUAUUAAAGUUGUUGCGGUUAAAAGCUCGUAGUUGGAUUUCUGCUUGGAAGACCUGGUCUCCUUCUUAAGGAACAAUCAGCGUCGUCUAGGCAUCCUCUGGAAAACGGUAUUUGUGCUUGAUUGCAUGGUGCCGAGUUCUGGACAUUUACUUUGAGGAAAUUAGAGUGUUCAUAGCAUGCAAUUGCAUUGAAUAUAUUAGCAUGGGAUAAUAAUAUAAGACUGAGUUUUUAUUUUGUUGGUUUCUAAGAAUUCAGUAAUGGUAAAUAGGAAUUGUCGGGGGUACUUGUAUUAACUCGUCAGAGGUGGAAUUCUUGGAUUGAGUUACGACAAACUACUGCGAAAGCAUUUACCAAGGAUGUUUUCAUUGAUCAAGAACGAAAGUUUGGGGAUCGAAGAUGAUUAGAUACCGU
rnacentral:rRNA from 1 species